AUACUGAGCAACCUGUCCAAACCAGCAAGAUUGGACUUGGAAGAAGAGAGUAUCAGAGUUUACAACACCGCCAUCAUUCUCAGCGAUCUAAAUGCCGUCCCCCUAAGGGCAUGUAUUUAACCCAGGAAGAUGUGGUAGCUGUUUCCUGUAGUCCCAAUGCAGCCAACACCAUCCUGCGGCAACUGGACAUGGAGCUGAUCUCUUUAAAGCGUCAGGUUCAGAAUGCUAAACAAGUAAACAGUGCACUUAAACAGAAAAUGGAAGGUGGAAUUGAAGAAUUCAAACCUCCUGAGGUAUGUUAUUGAAGAGUAUGUGACUAAGUAUGGUGAAACCUUAUUCUUUGAGUUAUAUCCAGUAUUUACUAUUUUGGUCCCAUGUGUUGUUAAUACUUUGAAGAUACCAUAGCAUGGGUAAUUAGUCAUGUCUCUAUAUUGUUAUUUAGAUAGUCUUUUGAGACUUGAAUAAUGAUUUAAGUGAAGUCAUUUCUUUCCUGCUGUUAGCAAUACAUAUCAAGCAAAGUAAGUAGGGAAAAACAGCUAUACAGAUAGGCCCAGUGCACAUGAACACGGAAAGUAAUUAAUGAGCAAACCAGUAUGUUUCUGGGUCUGCAGCAGUGUUUGCUCAAAGCCUUUUCCUAGCUAUGUGAAUUUGUAACACAGAAAGAAAAAGAACAUAAGAAAAAGAGUUCGGUUUAGCAAUUUUAACAAUUUUUUUAUUUUAAGGUAUUUGUCUUUUGACUCAGAUUUCUAAUGAGGAUUUUAGUAUGUGGACUUAAUUAACAUUUUUGUACUCCUGUCCCUGAAAAUUUGAAAUCUAAGAACGAGAUAUAGAUUAACCAUUUUCUCAAUUCUUCCCUCUGUUUCCUCUGAAACCUAAUAUAUAUCUGAUAUUUGCGAUAAUUAUAGGAGUACUUAAAUGCCUGUAAUUCCAAUCAAGUCUUUUCACAGAAGCUCCUAUUGUAAAUCUUUUCUCUUGUUUCUUUUUUUAAAGAUUUGUAUGCUGUGCUUCAUAUCCUG